GACGGGGACCCGCACAAGCGGUGGAGCAUGUGGUUUAAUUCGAAGAUACGCGAAGAACCUUACCUGGCCUUGACAUUGAUAGAAUCUGGUAGAGAUACUGGAGUGCUAGCUUGCUAGAACUUGAAACAGGUGCUGCACGGCUGUCGUCAGCUCGUGUCGUGAGAUGUUGGGUUAAGUCCCGCAACGAGCGCAACCUCGUCGUUAGUUGCUAACAGUUAGGCUGAGAACUCUAACGAGACUGCCUUCGUAAGGAGGAGGAAGGUGAGGACGACGUCAAGUCAUCAUGGCCCUUACGGCCAGGGCUACACACGUGCUACAAUGGGGUGUACAGAAAGCUGCAAUAUCGCGAGAUGGAGCAAAUCUCAAAAACACCUCCCAGUUCGGAUUGUUCUCUGCAACUCGAGAACAUGAAGUUGGAAUCGCUAGUAAUCGUAGAUCAGCAUUGCUACGGUGAAUACGUUCCCGGGUCUU
rnacentral:rRNA from 1 species